rnacentral:rRNA from 1 species
UACGUAGGGGGCUAGCGUUGUCCGGAAUCAUUGGGCGUAAAGAGCGUGUAGGCGGUUCGGUAAGUCUGCCGUGAAAACCUGAGGCUCAACCUCGGGCGUGCGGUGGAUACUGCCGGGCUAGAGGACGGUAGAGGCGAGUGGAAUUCCCGGUGUAGCGGUGAAAUGCGUAGAUAUCUGGAGGAACACCCGUGGCGAAGGCGGCUCUCUGGUCCGAUACUGACGCUGAGGCGCGAAAGCUAGGGUAGCAAACAGG